rnacentral:rRNA from 1 species
UACAGAGGGGGCGAGCGUUAUUCGGAAUUAUUGGGCGUAAAGGGCGCGUAGGCGGCUUUGCAAGUGACGGGUGAAAGCCCUCGGCUUAACCGAGGAACUGCCUGUCAGACUGUGAGGCUUGAGACCGGGAGAGGUGAGUGGAAUUCCCAGUGUAGCGGUGAAAUGCGUAGAUAUUGGGAGGAACACCAGUGGCGAAGGCGGCUCACUGGACCGGAACUGACGCUGAGGCGCGAAAGCUAGGGGAGCAAACAGG